rnacentral:rRNA from 1 species
UACGUAGGGGGCAAGCGUUGUCCGGAAUCAUUGGGCGUAAAGAGCGUGUAGGCGGCUUGGUAAGUCCGCUGUGAAAGUCCAGGGCUCAACCCUGGAAUGCCGGUGGAAACUGUCAAGCUUGAGUACGGAAGAGGCGAGUGGAAUUCCUGGUGUAGCGGUGAAAUGCGCAGAUAUCAGGAGGAACACCAAUUGCGAAGGCAGCUCGCUGGGACGUUACUGACGCUGAGACGCGAAAGCGUGGGGAGUAAACAGG